rnacentral:tRNA from 1 species
GGCUUCGUAGCUCAACUGGUUAGAGCGAGCGACUCAUAAUCGCUAGGUUCUGAGUUCGACUCUCAGCGAAGCCACCC